rnacentral:misc_RNA from 1 species
GAUUUUACUGUGCAAAAUUUUAAAGUUCAGAGGGUCUUAUGUUACAUUUUAAAUUCAGAGAUAUUUUCGUUACGACUCCUAAAAUUCAAGGAUAACUCUUGAAAUUUACCCCUAAACCCUUUAAUGCCUUCUAAACAAUCAUGAUACCAUAUCAUUUAGAUGUUCAUGCAAACAAACCCAGAUGGAAAAAUGAUUCUCUGUGUAAAUUUCUAAUGACAUUAAGCAUUAUAUAAAGUAAGUGGUACCUUGCAAUUGUUUUGUCUAGCAAA